CCUACGGGUGGCAGCAGUGGGGAAUAUUGCACAAUGGGCGCAAGCCUGAUGCAGCGACGCCGCGUGCGGGAUGGAGGCCUUCUGGUUUUAAACCGCUUUUGUUCAAGGGCAAGGCACGGUCUUUGGCCGUUUUGAGUGGAUUGUUCGAAUAAGCACCGGCUAACUACGUGCCAGCAGCCGCGGUAAUACGGAGGGUGCAAGCGUUAUCCGGAUUUAUUGUGCGUAAAGGGCUCGUAGGCGGUUUGACGCGGCCGGGGUGAAAGUCCAUGGCUUAACGGUGGAUCCGCGCCGGGUACGGGCGGGAUUGAGUGCGGUAGGGGAGACUGGAAUUCCCGGUGUAGCGGUGGAAUGUGUAGAGAUCGGACAGAACACCAAUGGCGAAGGCAGGUCUCUGGGCCGUUACUGACGCUGAGGAGCGAAAGCGUGGGGAGCGAACAGGAUUAGAUACCCGGGUAGUC
rnacentral:rRNA from 1 species